rnacentral:rRNA from 1 species
UACGUAGGGCGCAAGCGUUGUCCGGAAUUAUUGGGCGUAAAGAGCUCGUAGGCGGCCCUGUAAGUCCGCUGUGAAAGUCAAAGGCUCAACCUUUGAAUGCCGGUGGAUACUGCAGGGCUAGAGUCCGGAAGAGGCAAGUGGAAUUCCUGGUGUAGCGGUGAAAUGCGCAGAUAUCAGGAGGAACACCAAUGGCGAAGGCAGCUCGCUGGGACGGUACUGACGCUGAGACGCGAAAGCGUGGGGAGCAAACAGG